CGGAGCGUAGCGCAGCCUGGUUAGCGCACCAGUCUGGGGGACUGGGGGUCGCGAGUUCAAAUCUCGCCGCUCCGACCA
rnacentral:tRNA from 2 species